AACGAACGCUGGCGGCGCGCUUAAUACAUGCAAGUCGAACGAGAAGGUGUAGCAAUACACUUGUAAAGUGGCGAACGGGUGAGGAAUACAUGGGUAACCUACCCUCGAGUGGGGAACAACCAGCCGAAAGGUUGGCUAAUACCGCGUACGCUUCCGGAUCUUCGGAUUCGGAAGGAAAGUCAUACCGUGGGUAUGACGCUCAAGGAUGGGCUCAUGUCCUAUCAGCUUGUUGGUAGGGUAACGGCCUACCAAGGCUCCGACGGGUAGCUGGUCUGAGAGGACGGUCAGCCACACUGGCACUGCGACACGGGCCAGACUCCUACGGGAGGCAGCAGUAAGGAAUAUUGCGCAAUGGGCGAAAGCCUGACGCAGCGACGCCGCGUGGGGAUGAAGGUCUUCGGAUUGUAAACCCCUUUCGGGAGGGAAAAUGGAACGAGCAAUCGUUCGGAUGGUACCUCCAGAAGCAGCCACGGCUAACUUCGUGCCAGCAGCCGCCGUAA
rnacentral:rRNA from 1 species